UCGACGGGUAGCUGGUCUGAGAGGAUGAUCAGCCACACUGGGACUGAGACACGGCCCAGACUCCUACGGGAGGCAGCAGUGGGGAAUCUUGCACAAUGGGCGAAAGCCUGAUGCAGCAACGCCGCGUGCGGGAAGAAGGCCCUAGGGUUGUAAACCGCUUUCAGCAGGGAAGAAAAUGACGGUACCUGCAGAAGAAGGUGCGGCCAACUACGUGCCAGCAGCCGCGGUGACACGUAGGCACCAAGCGUUAUCCGGAUUUAUUGGGCGUAAAGAGCUCGUAGGCGGUUCGGUAAGUCGGGUGUGAAAACUCUGGGCUCAACCCAGAGAGGCCACUCGAUACUGCUGUGACUAGAGUGCGGUAGGGGAGCGGGGAAUUCAUGGUGUAGCGGUGAAAUGCGCAGAUAUCAUGAGGAACACCAGUGGCGAAGGCGCCGCUCUGGGCCGUAACUGACGCUGAGGAGCGAAAGCAUGGGUAGCAAACAGGAUUAGAUACCCUGGUAGUCCAUGCCGUAAACGUUGGGCACUAGGUGUGGGUCUCAACCAACGAGAUCCGCGCCGUCGCUAACGCAUUAAGUGCCCCGCCUGGGGAGUACGGAA
rnacentral:rRNA from 1 species